rnacentral:tRNA from 1 species
GCGCGGGUGGUGGAACUGGCAGACACGCAUGCUUGAGGGGCAUGUGGGAUUUCCCAUGCAGGUUCAAAUCCUGUCCCGCGCACCA